rnacentral:rRNA from 1 species
UACGUAGGUGGCAAGCGUUGUCCGGAUUUAUUGGGCGUAAAGCGCGCGCAGGUGGUGCGGUAAGUCUGCCGUGAAAUCUCCCGGCUCAACUGGGAGGGGGCGGUGGAGACUGCCGGACUGGAGGGACCUAGAGGCCGGUGGAAUUCCCGGUGGAGUGGUGAAAUGCGUAGAUAUCUGGAAGAGCACCAAAGGCGAAGGCAGUGUCCUGGGUGGUCGCUGACGCUGAGAGGCGAAAGCCAGGGGAGCGAACGGG